UCUCCUUAAGGAGCUGUGGGUCUCAUGGAAGAGAAGAGCAAGAAAUGAUGCAAAUUUGUAUAAGAGACUAUCAAUAAUGACUCUGUGACAAAACCCUGAGAAGGGAAUUGGAGUUGCCUGCAGUCCUGGAAUGCCACAGGGCUGUGCUCAGGGCAAAGAACUGAGAUGUGGGAGGAACAGGAACCCAUCCUCCAGGAGAGAGAAGAGACAAGGAAGGGACAAGCAAUGGGAUUAUAUGCAUGCAGCACACGCAGAAUAACAUUGUUAAAAUGAGCAUCAGCUCAGAAAGCCAUGUGUCAUCCAGGGAUCUUCAGACUAGAAAGGUGAUGGGGCCUCACGAGAGAAUGUGGAGAAACCCUGUCUAAGAGGCCAUGGGUUCUAGUCCUGACCCUACCAGGAACUUGCUGUGCGACCUGUAAGUGGAACCAUCUUUCUGGUUUUCUGUUUUAUCACCUGAAAAAGACAACUCUCCCAUGAGAUCGUUUCUUUGAAAACAUAAAUGUACUAGCAGGAACAGGUUCAGAUUUUGAGAGACUGGAAGUUGCAACACUUGGGGGCCUCUCUUUAAGGAAAAAAAAA
ensembl:lncRNA